AUUGAACGCUGGCGGCAGGCCUAACACAUGCAAGUCGAGCGGAUGAAGGGAGCUUGCUCCUGGAUUCAGCGGCGGACGGGUGAGUAAUGCCUAGGAAUCUGCCUGGUAGUGGGGGAUAACGUCCGGAAACGGGCGCUAAUACCGCUUACGUCCUGAGGGAGAAAGUGGGGGAUCUUCGGACCUCACGCUAUCAGAUGAGCCUAGGUCGGAUUAGCUAGUUGGUGGGGUAAAGGCCUACCAAGGCGACGAUCCGUAACUGGUCUGAGAGGAUGAUCAGUCACACUGGAACUGAGACACGGUCCAGACUCCUACGGGAGGCAGCAGUGGGGAAUAUUGGACAAUGGGCGAAAGCCUGAUCCAGCCAUGCCGCGUGUGUGAAGAAGGUCUUCGGAUUGUAAAGCACUUUAAGUUGGGAGGAAGGGCAGUAAGUUAAUACCUUGCUGUUUUGACGUCACCAACAGAAUAAGCACCGGCUAACUUCGUG
rnacentral:rRNA from 1 species